AGUGAACGCUGGCGGUAGGCCUAACACAUGCAAGUCGAACGGCAGCACAGUAAGAGCUUGCUCUUACGGGUGGCGAGUGGCGGACGGGUGAGGAAUACAUCGGAAUCUACUUUUUCGUGGGGGAUAACGUAGGGAAACUUACGCUAAUACCGCAUACGACAUACGGGUGAAAGCAGGGGAUCUUCGGACCUUGCGCGAUUGAAUGAGCCGAUGUCGGAUUAGCUAGUUGGCGGGGUAAAGGCCCACCAAGGCGACGAUCCGUAGCUGGUCUGAGAGGAUGAUCCGCCACACUGGAACUGAGACACGGUCCAGACUCCUACGGGAGGCAGCAGUGGGGACUAUUGGACAAUGGGCGCAAGCCUGAUCCAGCCAUACCGCGUGGGUGAAGAAGUCCUUCGGGUUGUAAAACCCUUUUGUUGGGAAAGAAAAUCAGCAGGUUAAUACCCCGCUGUUCUGACGGUACCCAAAGAAUAAGCACCGGCUAACUUCGUG
rnacentral:rRNA from 1 species